GACGAACGCUGGCGGCGUGCUUAACACAUGCAAGUCGAACGGAAAGGCCCUGCUUUUGUGGGGUGCUCGAGUGGCGAACGGGUGAGUAACACGUGAGUAACCUGCCCUUGACUUUGGGAUAACUUCAGGAAACUGGGGCUAAUACCGGAUAGGAGCUCCUGCUGCAUGGUGGGGGUUGGAAAGUUUCGGCGUUUGGGGAUGGACUCGCGGCUUAUCAGCUUGUUGGUGGGGUAGUGGCUUACCAAGGCUUUGACGGGUAGCCGGCCUGAGAGGGUGACCGGCCACAUUGGGACUGAGAUGCGGCACAGACUGCUACGGGAGGCAGAAGUGGGGAAUCUUGCACAAUGGGCGGAAGCCUGAUGCAGCAACGCCGCGUGCGGGAUGACGGCCUUCGGGUUGUAAACCGCUUUCGCCUGUGACGAAGCGUGAGUGACGGUAAUGGGUAAAGAAGCCCCGGCUAAAUACGUG
rnacentral:rRNA from 1 species